rnacentral:rRNA from 1 species
UUGAACGCUGGCGGCAUGCUUUACACAUGCAAGUCGAACGGCAGCGGGGGCUUCGGCCUGCCGGCGAGUGGCGAACGGGUGAGUAAUGCAUCGGAACGUACCCAGUCGUGGGGGAUAACUACGCGAAAGCGUAGCUAAUACCGCAUACGCCCUGAGGGGGAAAGCGGGGGACCUUCGGGCCUCGCGCGAUUGGAGCGGCUGAUGUCGGAUUAGCUAGUUGGUGGGGUAAAGGCCUACCAAGGCGACGAUCCGUAGCUGGUCUGAGAGGAUGAUCAGCCACACUGGGACUGAGACACGGCCCAGACUCCUACGGGAGGCAGCAGUGGGGAAUUUUGGACAAUGGGGGCAACCCUGAUCCAGCAACGCCGCGUGAAUGAAGAAGGCCUUAGGGUUGUAAAGUUCUUUUAUCUGUGAGCAAAGCGCUGAUGUUAACAGCAUGAGUGUAUGAGAGUAGCAGAAGAAUAAGCACCGGCUAACUACGU